rnacentral:rRNA from 1 species
UACGAAGGGGGCUAGCGUUGUUCGGAAUUACUGGGCGUAAAGCGCACGUAGGCGGAUAUUUAAGUUAGGGGUGAAAUCCCAGGGCUCAACCCUGGAACUGCCUCUAAUACUGGGUAUCUCGAGUUCGAGAGAGGUAAGUGGAAUUCCGAGUGUAGAGGUGAAAUUCGUAGAUAUUCGGAGGAACACCAGUGGCGAAGGCGGCUUACUGGCUCGAUACUGACGCUGAGGUGCGAAAGCGUGGGGAGCAAACAGG